AGAGUUUGAUCCUGGCUCAGGACGAACGCUGGCGGCGUGCUUAACACAUGCAAGUCGAACGGAAAGGCCCUUCGGGGUACUCGAGUGGCGAACGGGUGAGUAACACGUGGGUGAUCUGCCCUGCACUUUGGGAUAAGCCUGGGAAACUGGGUCUAAUACCGAAUAGGACCGCGCUCUUCAUGGGGUGUGGUGGAAAGCUUUUGCGGUGUGGGAUGGGCCCGCGGCCUAUCAGCUUGUUGGUGGGGUAAUGGCCUACCAAGGCGACGACGGGUAGCCGGCCUGAGAGGGUGACCGGCCACACUGGGACUGAGAUACGGCCCAGACUCCUACGGGAGGCAGCAGUGGGGAAUAUUGCACAAUGGGCGCAAGCCUGAUGCAGCGACGCCGCGUGAGGGAUGACGGCCUUCGGGUUGUAAACCUCUUUCAAUAGGGACGAAGCGCAAGUGACGGUACCUAUAGAAGAAGGACCGGCCAACUACGUGCCAGCAGCCGCGGUAAUACGUAGGGUCCGAGCGUUGUCCGGAAUUACUGGGCGUAAAGAGCUCGUAGGUGGUUUGUCGCGUUGUUCGUGAAAACUCACAGCUUAACUGUGGGCGUGCGGGCGAUACGGGCAGACUAGAGUACUGCAGGGGAGACUGGAAUUCCUGGUGUAGCGGUGGAAUGCGCAGAUAUCAGGAGGAACACCGGUGGCGAAGGCGGGUCUCUGAGCAGUAACUGACGCUGAGGAGCGAAAGCGUGGGGAGCGAACAGGAUUAGAUACCCUGGUAGUCCAA
rnacentral:rRNA from 1 species